GUGUGUGAGCACGCGCUCUAUCUUGUCCAUGUUUUUUACAGUCUAUGGUCCUUCUCACUGAAAUGGUUAUAAGAUCUGCUGGUCCUACCUCACAGCAUUUCACUUUAAGUGAAGCUUCUGUCACAGCUGUUUUCCAAUAAGUGUUGGUAUUUUCACAUCAGUCUAAAAGUGCAGCAGAUCGAGUUUAUGAACGAACAAGACAAACAUGAUUUAUCCAGAAUCCUGCAGAAUGGAACAUGAAGAUACUGAAGAAAUAGACCUGGUGAAAGAGAAUAAGGAGAGUAAAGAACUGAGUGAAACAGAGGAGAAACAUCAUGAUGUAAAAGGUGGAGAAAGUAAUUUUUUACUGAAAAGAGCCAAAGGAUCUUUCACCUGCCCUCAGUGUGGAAGGAGUUUCUCAUGCAAUCAAAAUCUUAAAUGUCACAUGAUAGUUCACAAUGGAGAGAAGCCACACACCUGUGAUCAAUGUGGGACGAGUUUUGCAAAUAGAGGAAACCUUAAGAAACACAUGAAUAAUCCACACUGGAGAAAAAACACACACAUGCGAUCAGUGCGGGAAGAGUUUUGCUCGAAGAGAAACCCUUAAAGAACACAUGAAAAUCCACACUGGAGAAAAACCACACACAUGCAAUCAGUGCGGGAAGAGUUUCGCUCAAAAAGGAACUUUUAAAUUACAUCUGCGUUGCCAUUCUGGAGAAAGGCCAUAUAACUGUGAUCAGUGCGGUAAAAACUUUUCUUAUGCAGAUUGCCUGAAAAGCCACCUGAAAGUUAAUUCACAGGAGAAGCCUUAUACGUGUUCUUUGUGUGAAAAGAGUUUUCCACGUCUGAGUGCUUUUAAAUUGCACCAGAAAAGACACGGCGGUGUGAAAGAUUAUAUGUGCUUUGAUUGUGGAAAGACCUUUAUUGCAGCUGAUAAACUAAAACGGCACCAGAUAAUUCACAGUUCAGAAAAACCGUACAAGUGUUCACACUGUGACAAGAAAUUCAAUCAGUCAGAAAAUCUGAAAACACAUGAGAGAAUCCAGACUGGAGACAAACCACACACGUGACCAGUGUGGGAAGAGUUUCACACAAAAAGGAGGCCUUAAGGAACACAUGAAAAUCCACACUGGAGUGAAGCCACACACAUGUGAUCAAUGAGAAAAGAGUUUCAGAAAAUCAACUGAAUCACAUGUGAAUUCUCAUACAGUAAAAUCAGAAAUCCUGUCAGUGCAGCACCAGCAAUCUGAGCUAAUUAGAGACUUCUUAAUUUCUGUCUAGUUUCAAAUAAAGAGACAGCAGAA